rnacentral:rRNA from 1 species
ACUCCUACGGGAGGCAGCAGUGGGGAAUAUUGGACAAUGGGCGAAAGCCUGAUCCAGCCAUGCCGCGUGUGUGAAGAAGGUCUUCGGAUUGUAAAGCACUUUAAGUUGGGAGGAAGGGCAGUAAAUUAAUACUUUGCUGUUUUGACGUUACCGACAGAAUAAGCACCGGCUAACUCUGUGCCAGCAGCCGCGGUAAUACAGAGGGUGCAAGCGUUAAUCGGAAUUACUGGGCGUAAAGCGCGCGUAGGUGGUUCGUUAAGUUGGAUGUGAAAUCCCCGGGCUCAACCUGGGAACUGCAUUCAAAACUGACGAGCUAGAGUAUGGUAGAGGGUGGUGGAAUUUCCUGUGUAGCGGUGAAAUGCGUAGAUAUAGGAAGGAACACCAGUGGCGAAGGCGACCACCUGGACUGAUACUGACACUGAGGUGCGAAAGCGUGGGGAGUAAACAGGAUUAGAUACCCUGGUAGUCCACGCCGUAAACGAUGUCAACUAGCCGUUGGGAGCCUUGAGCUCUUAGUGGCGCAGCUAACGCAUUAAGUUGACCGCCUGGGGAGUACGGCCGCAAGGUUAAAACUCAAAUGAAUUGACGGGGGCCCGCACAAGCGGUGGAGCAUGUGG